CAGUAUACAAAUAAUGAAUGUUUUUAUUCGUGCAAUGGUAAGAAUAUUUUCAUGAGGUGAAAGAUAUGGAAUGUUCCAUUCAACGAGGCGACAGCCGACAGUCUUACCAUUGCACGAAUAAAAACAUUCAUUAUUUGUUUUAUA